GACGAACGCUGGCGGCGUGCUUAACACAUGCAAGUCGAACGGUAAGGCCCUUCGGGGUACACGAGUGGCGAACGGGUGAGUAACACGUGGGUGAUCUGCCCUGCACUUCGGGAUAAGCCUGGGAAACUGGGUCUAAUACCGGAUAGGACUCCGGACUGCAUGGUCUGGGGUGGAAAGCUUUUGCGGUGUGGGAUGGGCCCGCGGCCUAUCAGCUUGUUGGGGGGGUGAUGGCCUACCAAGGCGACGACGGGUAGCCGGCCUGAGAGGGUGACCGGCCAUACUGGGACGGAGAUACGGCCCAGACUCCUACGGGAGGCAGCAGUGGGGAAUAUUGCACAAUGGGCGCAAGCCUGAUGCAGCGACGCCGCGUGAGGGAUGACGGCCUUCGGGUUGUAAACCUCUUUCAGCAUCGACGAAGCGAAAGUGACGGUAGGUGCAGAAGAAGGACCGGCCAACUACGUGCCAGCAGCCGCAGUAA
rnacentral:rRNA from 1 species